GGAAGAUCAUCGUCCCCGGUGGGGCGGCUGGACUUCAAAUCCAGAUGGGCCGCCAGCGGUCCCUGGCAGGUUCGACUCCUGUGAUCUUCCGCCA
rnacentral:tRNA from 1 species